UCCAGGCAGAAGGGUCACUCAUCCUCUCCUUUCCCUCACCUGCAGCUCUGGGGGUUGAGGAAAGGACAAAAUAGAGCAAACAGAAUCCUUCCAGAUGGUCAGAUAGUCCUGGUUUAUAACAGGGCACAGUAACCUGAAUUUUAUGGAUGAAGAAAUGGAGACCCAUUUCCUUAUGGAUGAAGAAAUGAAGAGAAGUUAAGCAACUUUCCAGAGGCCCCCCGGCGGCAGGGUGCUUGGAUGCCAGCAACAGAAAUAGACUUUGGUUAAUGUAAGCAAACAUAGAAUGUAGAAAUGAGCCAUCAAGCCAUGAAAAGAUGUGGAGGAAACUUAAUGAAAUUCACAUUGCUAAGAGGAAGAAGUCAACCGAAAAGGCCACACAUGGUAUGAUUUCAGGGACGUGAUAUUUUGCAAAAGGCAAAACGAUGGGGACAAUAAAAGGAUUAGGGGUUGUCAGGUGUUAGGAUGGAGGAAGGGAUGAGUAGGUGGGAUUUUCAGGGCAGCAAAACGACUCUGUAUGAGACUGUACUGGUGGGCACAUGUUAUUACAGACUUUGGGUGAUGAUGUGUCAGUGUAGGUUCAUUGGUUGUAACAAUUGGACCGCGCUGGUGGGGGAUGUUGACAGUGGGGGAGAAUGUUGGAGGAGGGAGAUAUACGGGAAAUCUGUAUCUUCCUCUCAAUUUUGUUGUGAAUUUAAAACCGCUCUAAACAAUAACAGUCUAUUUUUUAGAAACAAAAUAUAUUGAAAGGAUCAUGGGGAGCUCAUGGAUUUCUGGCCUCUUUUGAGCCUAUGGAGGGAGACAGGUCCAGCUCUUGCCAAGAACUGCCCAGUGGGGGAUUCUCCUCCUACAGAGGAAAGGUGUUCAGAUGCUGAGUACAAAAAAUUUCCCCCCAACCCCAUCCCAAUAAGGUUCUGUGGUGAUGGAUGUUUUCGGCACCAGACCUGACACACAGUAAAAGCCCAGUAAAUGGUAAUUAUUCUUAUUCUUAUUAAUAAGAAUAUCCAGGAAGAGGCUGCUCAGCCUGUCUCCAUGCCUGUGGUAGAAAUUCUAGGCCACUUUUCCUGUGGGAUGAUUUAGACUUCCUUUAUGAACAGAGACACAAACCGAGCCAGCACACCCUCAGGACAGAAGGAUGCU